rnacentral:lncRNA from 1 species
CUCUAUAACAUCCAACAGAAUAAUCUGCUUAUGAUGUAUAGUAACAUACAGGAGAUCCUACGUCGGGUUUUCAUCCUAGGUAGGCUAAGAUAAGGGGUAAAACCCCACCAACCGCCCAAGCUAUGUUUUAGUUCUCUUUCUAGUUAUCGUAGCAUAAGCGUAUGCAGAUUCCUAUCACGAAAUAAUAAAUCGUUGCAAAUGCGCCAAAAAUUGCUGCAUCCAUUCAAAAUGUUUGUUGCAUGACUAAUAAAAUGUUUUCAUGGCCCACUAUUGCAGAUAUAGCAUUGGGAAAGUGUUACCUUAGCGUACCGUGAAAUAGUUGCAUGACACAUGAAAAGUUGUUGUUUUGAAAUAAAAACCCGUGCUUAAAGGGGUAACCUGCAGGAGAUUUGGAUGGAAACAGUUUUUUGCGUUACAGUGCAUGUUCUUCGGUGCUUGGUCUAAGCCUCUAAUGGCAUCUCCGAUGGUGGUUGAUACUAAAUUUCUUCUCUUCUUUCUUUAAUAUGUUUUCUUUUUUUCUACUCCUUUCUUUUUCUGGAUGGACCCACGUGUCAUCAUUUUUUCUAUCCUGGUAUCCGUGUAGUACUUGUUACUUUUUCAAAUAACCACUACUUAGUUAUAAUAUUCAUCUUUCCUUCUCAUUGGCCACUAACUUCUUGGGACCUCUGAAGUACCCCUUGUUGAGGAUGCCCUAAGGGCAUCCCCAAUAAGGGGUACCAAGCAGAUAGUUAAAGUCUCUUUCUUACUUUUUGGCUGAGGGUGGAGCAAAAAGGUGAAGAUGUGGUAUACUGCAAAAGUAACAACCUUAGCACAAUAACUAAGAAUAUGAGAAGAUAGUUUAAUGAAAAAAUGAGUAUGCCA